UUUUCUUGAGAGCGGCGGACGGGUGAGUAAUGCCUAGGAAUCUGCCUGGCAGUGGGGGAUAACGUUCGGAAACGGACGCUAAUACCGCAUACGUCCUACGGGAGAAAGCAGGGGACCUUCGGGCCUUGCGCUAUCAGAUGAGCCUAGGUCGGAUUAGCUAGUUGGUGAGGUAAUGGCUCACCAAGGCGACGAUCCGUAACUGGUCUGAGAGGAUGAUCAGUCACACUGGAACUGAGACACGGUCCAGACUCCUACGGGAGGCAGCAGUGGGGAAUAUUGGACAAUGGGCGAAAGCCUGAUCCAGCCAUGCCGCGUGUGUGAAGAAGGUCUUCGGAUUGUAAAGCACUUUAAGUUGGGAGGAAGGGCAGUUACUUAAUACGUGAUUGUUUUGACGUUACCGACAGAAUAAGCACCGGCUAACUCUGUGCCAGCAGCCGCGGUAAUACAGAGGGUGCAAGCGUUAAUCGGAAUUACUGGGCGUAAAGCGCGCGUAGGUGGUUUGUUAAGUUGGAUGUGAAAUCCCCGGGCUCAACCUGGGAACUGCAUUCAAAACUGACUGACUAGAGUGUG
rnacentral:rRNA from 1 species